UACGGAGGGUGCGAGCGUUGUCCGGAAUCAUUGGGCGUAAAGGGCGCGUAGGUGGCCCGGUCAGUCGAUGGUGAAAGCGCGGGGCUCAACUCCGCGUCGGCCGUCGAUACUGCUGGGCUUGAGCACUGUAGAGGCAGGCGGAAUUCCGGGUGUAGCGGUGGAAUGCGUAGAGAUCCGGAAGAACACCGGUGGCGAAGGCGGCCUGCUGGGCAGUGGCUGACACUGAGGCGCGACAGCGUGGGGAGCAAACAGG
rnacentral:rRNA from 1 species